GAGUAGGGCGGAUAAUCGCGGCUGCUUAUGCAGGUGAGGAAAGUCCGGGCUUCACAGGGCAGGAUGCCGGAUAACGUCCGGUGGAGGUGACUCCAAGGCCAGUGCAACAGAGAUAUACCGCCGGAGCGUGCAGCUUGCUACGCGUUCCGGUAAGGGUGGAAAGGCAGUGUAAGAGACUACCGUUCUCAUGGUAACAUGAGAAGCCAUGUAAACCCCAUCCGAAGCAAGACCAGACAAAGGCGAUACGGCUGCCCGUCGUGUCUUUGGGUAGGUCGCUUGAGCCUGCUGGUAACAGCAGGACUAGAUAGAUGAUUAUCACGUGCGUGUUACGCAUUUGACAUAACCCGGCUUACAGCCCUGCUCAA
rnacentral:RNase_P_RNA from 1 species